GAUGAACGCUGGCGGCGUGCCUAAUACAUGCAAGUCGAGCGAACAGAUGAGGAGCUUGCUCCUCUGACGUUAGCGGCGGACGGGUGAGUAACACGUGGAUAACCUACCUAUAAGACUGGGAUAACUUCGGGAAACCGGAGCUAAUACCGGAUAAUAUAUUGAACCGCAUGGUUCAAUAGUGAAAGACGGUUUUGCUGGCACUUAUAGAUGGAUCCGCGCCGCAUUAGCUAGUUGGUAAGGUAACGGCUUACCAAGGCAACGAUGCGUAGCCGACCUGAGAGGGUGAUCGGCCACACUGGAACUGAGACACGGUCCAGACUCCUACGGGAGGCAGCAGUAGGGAAUCUUCCGCAAAGGGCGAAAGCUUGACGGAGCAACGCCGCGUGAGUGAUGAAGGUCUUCGGAUCGUAAAACUCUGUUAUUAGGGAAGAACAAAUGUGUAAGUAACUAUGCACGUCUUGACGGUACCUAAUCAGAAAGCCACGGCUAACUACGUG
rnacentral:rRNA from 1 species